CUCUUUUUACUAGUUGAUAAAUCUAAAUUUUAGGAAAAAGAGCAAAUUUCUUGGCGCUCGAGUUUUUGAUGUGGCCACUCUUCCGUCACAUAUGAAUUAUUUCGGACUUCUCCUUCAUUAUCUUUGCUUCCCACGAAUUCCCAGCUGCACCCCAGUAAGCAUGUCUUUGCCAUUAUUUUCUUGUUCUUUCUUAUGAAAGAAGACAGGAGUUGCUAAAAAAAUCAUAGUAGUAAACUUCGUCAACCUGUGGCUGAUAGAAAAUGCUUUGGUGGAAUUAAAU
rnacentral:lncRNA from 1 species